rnacentral:rRNA from 1 species
AAAGCGUCAUAGCUUCUUUGCAAAAUAACCUAAUACCAACCAUUUUUAUGAUCCCCACCCCCGUAUCAAGCAAUUCUAUAUGUAUAUAGAAAUUUUUAUGUUAAAACUAGUAACAAGAAGAUAAACUUCUCCUAAUGCAAACGUAAAUCAGGAAGGAUAUACCACUGAUAAUUAACACCCCCUGAACCAACAGUAGCAACUUAACAAGAAAACUCUACUACAUUUUAUGUUAACCUAACACAAGAGCAUUACAGGAAAGAUUAAAAGAGAAAGAAGGAACUCGGCAAACUUUAACCCCGCCUGUUUACCAAAAACAUCGCCUCUUGACUAACUAUAAGAGGUCCAGCCUGCCCAGUGACACUGUUCAACGGCCGCGGUAUCCUAACCGUGCGAAGGUAGCGUAAUCACUUGUUCUUUAAAUGAGGACUAGUAUGAAUGGCACCACGAGGGUUAUACUGUCUCCUUUCUUUAAUCAGUGAAACUAAUCUCCCCGUGAAGAAGCGGGGAUAAUUUUAUAAGACGAGAAGACCCUAUGGAGCUUUAAACAAGUAAUAAUUGCCUUUAUUAAUUUUUAAUCUACGGAAAUUUACCCUCUUAUCCAGGCACUCUAAUUACAAGUUUUAGGUUGGGGUGACCGCGGAGCAUAAAAUAACCUCCAUAGUGAACGGGUAUUAUUCCCUAAACCCAGGGCUACAACCCUAAGCAUCAAUAAAUUGACACCCAUUGACCCAAUAUUUUGAUCAAUGAACCAAGUUACCCUAGGGAUAACAGCGCAAUCCACUUCAAGAGCCCCUAUCGACAAGUGGGUUUACGACCUCGAUGUUGGAUCAGG